rnacentral:rRNA from 1 species
UGGGGAAUCUUGCACAAUGGGCGAAAGCCUGAUGCAGCGAUUCCGCGUGGAGGAUGACGCAUUACGGUGUGUAAACUCCUUUUUUGGUGGAAGACGAAUGACGGUACACCAAGAAUAAGGGACGGCUAACUACGUGCCAGCAGCCGCGGUAAUACGUAGGUCCCAAGCGUUAUCCGGAUUUACUGGGCGUAAAGUGUCCGUAGCCGGAUAUACAAGUCUGUUUUCAAAUACCACGACUCAAUCGUGGAAAGGGAAUAGAUACUGUAUAUCUAGAGAAUAUUGGAGGUUAGUGGAAUUUCCGGUGGAGCGGUGAAAUGCGUUGAUAUCGGAAAGAACGCCGAAAGCGAAAGCAGCUAACUAUGAUAUUUCUGACGGUGAUGGACGAAAGCUUGAGUAGCAAACGGG